ensembl:lncRNA
CAAGUUAUGAGAUGUUCUUUGGUACUGGAGAAACUGAGCAAUUUAAAUGACCGUCCUGCUUAGCUGCUGUUUGUGUUUUGGUUUUUUUAAUUAUCAUUUUUUAAAACUCAGUGACGUAGUGAGAAAAAGGCUGAGUUGGUCUUGAAACUAGUAGCUGGCAUGGUGAGGUGGGAAAGAAUAUCCUCAGUUUGACAGUGGGAGCCAAGUGAGGAAGCAGAAAUUGAGCUGUAACCCACAGCUUAUCUCGUAGCCAUAAUUAUGAGGAGCAUCUGUCAUAGGGUUGUAUUUUUUGGUAAGUGUAAGGGAUGUGGGUCUGUAGUAGACAGUAUAGAAAUAACGUGAACGAUGGUGAUGUGCGUGAUGGUAAGUUACCAUGCUUGUUGGUGUCUUUCUUAUAACCACGUGUAAUCCAUUUUUUAGGAAGAAAAAAAAAAAAGGAUGUUUUCAUACUUGGGAUUGGGGUUUUAUUUUCAUGUAGGUCUCAGUGGGUCAACCUUUUGGAUGUGACCGAGGUUGGUCCUUGAUAGUUUCCCUAGGAGGUCUUUGGUUGGCUUAGCGUCAAGCGAUGCGACGGUGGCCCUGUUCUGUUUGUGUUGAACCAUUCUGAAGCAAAUUUUUUUGCUUGUUGGCGGUGUAAUAAUAUAUCCAAUUCCUAAAAUGGGUUUGUACAAAAAAAAAUUACUGUUUUCAGUAAACAAUGGCGGUUGCUUUUGUGGAUGCAUGUCGUUCAGAAAUGUCCAAAGAAUAAUGUGAUACAAACACUUUUUCAAAGAUGUAGUGAUUACUGUAUUAGUUCAGACAACGUUAAGACAAAUGUAUUAAAAUAAAAAGUAUGGGGGGGUGGGGGGUGUAAUGAAAUUCAACUAAGCUAAAUAUGUAAUUAUUUAUAUGAAAAAAAACCCCACACAGUAUAUAUUCUAUUUUUAUUAGAGGUUUUUAAAGUGCAAACAGAGUUCUGUUGGCAAAUGCAACUGUUCCCCUGUGAAGUAUCUUCUGCUUUGAUGGGACUCCGAAAUCUCUGACUGUUUUCAAGUGAUGAUGUGGAACAAUGGGAUGGGUACGGCUGUGAUGCGCUCCCCAUCGCUUCCUCAGAGAUAGGGAAGACAAGCAGGCUGACAGCCUCAACCUGCAGAAUUAUUGCUGCUCUCAGCCCAUUAGUACUGCCCCAACCUUGGCUUUGUGUCAUACCUGCUUGGAAGAUGUGUUGUGUUGGUCUACGCCAGUGUAAAUGGGAAUUAAUGAAACAGAGUAGAUCUAAACAGUGCCUGGCUGCAGAUCUAAAGCUCUUUCUACCCAAGACGAGGUGUUUUUCCAUCACCAUUGCUGCCAGCAAAAACACAAGCUGAGGUCAUGGUCCAAGAACGGCGACGGCUGGGCAUGCACAGCCUUACGUGGAGCAGCUCUUUGCUCGUGUUUCCUUUGGCUCUGAGAAAAGCUGGGAGAAUGUUUGUGCUGGAACUGCAGUACGGGGAAGUCUCCAGCUGUGUUGCACGUUUGUGAGUGCUUUAGUUUAGAGGUGAUAUUUAAAGCAAUUAUAAUGCUGUGGUCAACGCUAAAUCACAGUUGGGCUCUGGUUGACCGAAGGGGUUGACCAGGCUUUUCCAUGCCAUGCUUCCGUGGUGUAAUGACACCCCAAUGAGGAUUUUCCACAUUUUGCUUCAGGAUUUUUAGGUUUUGAUUCUUUUGCACUGCUCCAGGACUUGGGUUGCGGGGGGAGCACGCAGGUUUUAGCGAUGCGUCACCCAAAGUGCUCGAUUUUAAGCUUUUAUUACAAGGCAACUUUAUCAGUUUGAGUUUUAAACAAGAGAUUGCUGCACUGUAUCCUGGUGUUAAUGAUGCUGGUGGUAGGGGUGAACUAGACAUGCUGCCUGCCAAAUUCUUAAUUCAGCCCCUCCCCACCCAUUAGUGGAGAGGGGGAUGCUGGAGGCUUGACACUAAGUCUUUGGCAGAGUAGUGAGGAAACACUUGAUUAUUUCUUGUUGUCUGUUUUUGUGUAUAGUUCUGUGUCUUAAGACCCUUCCGCGUUCGUGGGAGCCAUUCCGAGCUUCUCUUUUGCAGAAGCAACAAAUUGUGUUGGCAGAAAUGGGUACUUGAUGCUUCUGGAAAUGAUGAUUCCCUCCUAUCUAAUUCCAUAGGACCACAGAAUGGUUGGGUUGGAAGGGACCUCCAAGAUCACCCAGUUCUGGGUUGGGUUCUCUGGAGAGGAGGUAAUGCUUCAAAAACCCACCACGCUGGGGUUCUUUGAGGGCUAUGUAGCUGACAGCACCAUUUCCAUGGUAGAGCUCCCCAUCCCAUUGGGCCACAAACCCAACACUGUGGGGUUCGCUGCCUGAAAUGACGCUCCUCCCAUAGCUCUCGUUGGAAACCCCAAAGAUCUAUUUGUUAUUAAGAAAGAGCUGAAGAUGAUUGAAAAGCUCAAUCACCAAACGCUCCUCCUUGCACCAAAAGAAAUGCAAUUUAGCCCUUGCUCAAGUGUACGUAGCUUCAGUUCUGCCAAAAAAACCCCACAAUUAUUUAUUAUUUAAGGUGUCGGAGUGGAGGGUGUCAAUGAAUGAAUCUCUUCCCAUGCGGUGUCACUUCUCGUCAGUCCCUCUUUAGGCCACUGUAAGAGGUUUUUUUUUAUAUACACAUCAAAACAGACUACUGGUCGGUGUGGAACCUGUUGACCGUACGGUUGUAAAUAUUGUGCUUUGUAUUCUGUAUAUUGGCUUCUUUUAAAGAAAAAAAAUAAAAUAAAAUAAAAGAACUGGUGACGCCAGCCGGGCUCCAAGGUGAGGAUGGAGCAGCACCGGGUCCUGAGCCGAGCUGGGGGUGGAUUUGGGCUCUGUCCAUGGUGUCUGACACACGCACCCAUUGAUGGCGGAUUUGGGACUAUCGAAGGCACCCGUUGACCUCAAUCCAUUUUAGAAGGAGCGGCAAGAGCCAGAAGGACUCCAACUCCUCUGAUUUCCCGUGGAUUAUUGCAGUUUUUCCUCAUUAGUGCCAAAACCCACCGCUCAGCUCUGCUCGUCGCUCCCUCCGUUGUCCGUCUGUCCGUCCGUCCAUCCGUCCCGGCUCUGCUCUGCAGGAAGGGGCUGUGCUGGGCAAUGGGAGCAGGUCCGGCUCUUGUUCUGAGGGGAAACAAAAACACUUUAAAUAAAUACCAACCUCCUGGU